AUUGAACGCUGGCGGCAGGCCUAACACAUGCAAGUCGAACGAGUGGCGGACGGGUGAGUAAUGUCUGGGAAACUGCCUGAUGGCGGGGGAUAACUACUGGAAACGGUAGCUAAUACCGCAUACCAUCAGAUGUGCCCAGAUGGGAUUAGCUCGUGGGUGGGGUAACGGCUCACCAAGGCGACGAUCCCUAGCUGGUCUGAGAGGAUGACCAGCCACACUGGAACUUAGACACGGUCCAUACUCAUACGCGAGGCAGCAGUGUGGAAUAUUGCACAAUGGGCGCAAGCCUGAUGCAGCCAUGCCGCGGGUAUGAAGAAGGCCUUCGGGUUGUAAAGUACUUUCAGCGUGGAGGCGUUACCCGCAGAAGAAGCACCGGCUAACUCCGUGCCAGCAGCCGCGGUAAUUC
rnacentral:rRNA from 1 species